rnacentral:rRNA from 1 species
UACAGAGGUGGCAAGCGUUGUUCGGAAUUACUGGGCGUAAAGGGCGCGUAGGCGGCCUCGCAAGUCCUGUGUGAAAUCCCUCGGCUCAACUGAGGAAUGGCACGGGAAACUGCGGGGCUUGAGUUCGGGAGAGGGAAGCGGAAUUCCGGGUGUAGCGGUGAAAUGCGUAGAGAUCCGGAGGAACACCAGCGGCGAAGGCGGCAUCCUGGACUGGUCCUGACACUCAAAAACGAAAGCCAGGGGAGCAAACGGG